AUAUCAAUAAGCGGAGGAAAAGAAACCAACAGGGAUUGCCCUAGUAACGGCGAGUGAAGCGGCAACAGCUCAAAUUUGAAAUCUGGCCCCCUCGGGGUUCGAGUUGUAAUUUGUAGAGGAUGCUUCGGCGUCGGCCCCGGGCUAAGUCCCCUGGAACGAGGCGCCCUAGAGGGUGAGAGCCCCGUACUCACUCGGGUGCCCUUCGCCAUGUGAAGCUCCUUCGACGAGUCGAGUUGUUUGGGAAUGCAGCUCUAAGCGGGAGGUAUAUUUCUUCUAAAGCUAAAUACCGGCCAGAGACCGAUAGCGCACAAGUAGAGUGAUCGAAAGAUGAAAAGCACUUUGGAAAGAGAGUUAAAAAGCACGUGAAAUUGUUGAAAGGGAAGCUCUUGCCGCCAGACUUGCCGCGGUUGCUCAGCCGCCCCCCGGGGCGGUGUACUCUUCCGUCGGCAGGCCAGCGUCGGUUCGGGCGACCGGAUAAAGGCCCUGGGAAUGUAGCACCCUCCGGGGUGUGUUAUAGCCCGGGGUGCAAUGCGGUCAGCCCGGUCCGAGGCACGCGUUCGCGAGGACGCUGGCGUAAUGGCUGCAAGCGACCCGUCUUGAAACACGGACCAAGGAGUCUAACAUCUGUGCGAGUGUUUGGGUCUCAAACUCAUGCGCGUAAUGAAAGUGAACGGAGGUGGGAACCCCCUCGAGGGGCGCACCAUCGACCGAUCCUGAUGUCUUCGGAUGGAUUUGAGUAAGAGCAUAGCUGUUGGGACCCGAAAGAUGGUGAACUAUUCCCGGAUAGGGUGAAGCCAGAGGAAACUCUGGUGGAGGCUCGUAGCGGUUCUGACGUGCAAAUCGAUCGUCAAAUCUAGGAAUAGGGGCGAAAGACUAAUCGAACCAU
rnacentral:rRNA from 1 species